rnacentral:rRNA from 1 species
CCUACGGGAGGCAGCAGUGGGGAAUAUUGCACAAUAGGCGCAAGCCUGAUGCAGCCAUGCCGCGUGUGUGAAGAAGGCCUUCGGGUUGUAAAGCACUUUCAGCGGGGAGGAAGGCGGUGAGGUUAAUAACCUCAUCGAUUGACGUUACCCGCAGAAGAAGCACCGGCUAACUCCGUGCCAGCAGCCGCGGUAAUACGGGGGUGCAAGCGUUAAUCGGAAUUACUGGGCGUAAAGCGCACGCAGGCGGUCUGUCAAGUCGGAUGUGAAAUCCCCGGGCUCAACCUGGGAACUGCAUUCGAAACUGGCAGGCUAGAGUCUUGUGGAGGGGGGUAGAAUUCCAGGUGUAGCGGUGAAAUGCGUAGAGAUCUGGAGGAAUACCGGUGGCGAAGGCGGCCCCCUGGACAAAGACUGACGCUCAGGUGCGAAAGCGUGGGGAGCAAACAGGAUUAGAUACCCUAGUAGUC